UACGGGGGGAGCAAGCGUUGUUCGGAUUUACUGGGCGUAAAGGGCGCGUAGGCGGCCACCGCAAGUCAGUUGUGAAAUCUCUGGGCUUAACCCAGAACGGUCAGCUGAUACUGCGGGGCUAGAGUGCAGAAGGGGCAACUGGAAUUCUCGGUGUAGCGGUGAAAUGCGUAGAUAUCGAGAGGAACACCUGCGGCGAAGGCGGGUUGCUGGGCCGACACUGACGCUGAGGCGCGAAAGCCAGGGGAGCAAACGGG
rnacentral:rRNA from 1 species